GUCUUCUGGAUAGCUCAGUUGGUUAGAACAUGGUGCUGAAAUUGCCAAGGCUGCAGGUUCAAUUCCUGUAUGGGACA